GUUUAAAAGUAAGCAAGUUUUUGUAUGGAGUAUUUAUGUGUGAAUGUAGAGGGUGUAUUUUUGAGUAGUUUUGUGUUAGGUGUUUUUAUGUACUGUUGCCAUUUGAUACAGCUGAGUGUUUACUUGUGUGUAGUGUUUGUCUGUGAAGAGGUGUAACUGUAUGUAGUGUUAGUGUAUGAUUGCAGGGAUAGUUUUGUGUGCAAUGUUGGAGUUUGAAUUCUCAGAGUUAUGCAC